rnacentral:lncRNA from 1 species
GUCAGAAUCUAUUUGAAGAGUGACACAGAAUUGAGGUUGAGACCAAAAAAAUGUGUGCUCUAAAUCAUGUUUUUGCAGAAACUAAGUGGAAGUUUCCAGUGUGGAUGUCAUUUUGGUUGGGAACACACAUUUCCUUAGGAAAAGCAGGAGGCUGUGAUGGAAGAAACUAAGGAUCUUGAAAUUGGAUAGACCUAUUACCACCUUCCCUAACUUCAAGACUUCAAGGAUCUCAAGUUUAAAGGUUCUUAGAUCCCUUUUGGG